GGCUGGUCCGAUGGUAGUGGAUUAUCAGAACUUACUAACAUUAGUGUCACUAAAGUUGGUAUUCAAACCCCCACAGCUAAAUUUGACUGGCGUUUA
ensembl:misc_RNA Y_RNA Y RNA